rnacentral:rRNA from 1 species
UACGUAGGGUCCAAGCGUUAUCCGGAAUCACUGGGCGUAAAGCGUGCGUAGGUGGCGUGUUAAGUGUGAUGUUAAAUCGUGGGGCUCAACCCUGUCGGUGCAUCACAUACUGGCAUGCUAGAGGACGGCAGAGGCAAGUGGAAUUUGUAGUGUAGCAGUGAAAUGCGUAGAUAUUACAAGGAACACCAAUGGCGAAGGCAGCUUGCUGGGCCACUCCUGACACUGAGGUACGAAAGCGUGGGGAGCGAGCAGG